GCCGAAGUGGCGGAAUGGCAGACGCGGCGGUCUCAAAAACCGCUGGGCCCAAAGCUCGUGUGGGUUCGAAUCCCACCUUCGGCACCA
rnacentral:tRNA from 2 species